rnacentral:rRNA from 1 species
UCGGGGACAUUGGUGACAGGUGGUGCAUGGUUGUCGUCAGCUCGUGUCGUGAGAUGUUGGGUUAAGUCCCGCAACGAGCGCACCCCUUGUCUUUAGUUGCCAUCAUUAAGUUGGGCCCUCUAGAGAGACUGCCAGGGAUAACCUGGAGGAAGGUGGGGAUGACGUCAAAUCAUCAUGCCCCUUAUGCUUAGGGCUACACACGUGCUACAAUGGGUAG